GACGAACGCUGGCGGCGUGCUUAACACAUGCAAGUCGAACGGAAAGGCCCUGCUUUUGUGGGGUGCUCGAGGGGCGAACGGGGGGGUAACACGUGAGUAACCUGCCCUUUACUUUGGGAUAACUUCAGGAAACUGGGGCUAAUACCGGAUAGGAGCUCCUGAUGCAUGGUGGGGAUUGGAAAGUUUCGGCGUUUGGGGAUGGACUCGCGGCUUAUCAGCUUGUUGGUGGGGUAGUGGCUUACCAAGGCUUUGACGGGUAGCCGGCCUGAGAGGGUGACCGGCCACCUUGGGACUGAGAUACGGCCCAGACUCCUACUGGAGCCAGCAGUGGGGAAUACUGCCCAAGCGGCGGAAGCCGGAUGAAGAAACGCCGCGUGCGGGAUAACGGUCUUCGGGUUGUAAACCGCUUUCGCAUGUGACGAAGCGUGAGUGACGGUAAUCGGUACAGAAGCCCCCGCUAACUACCGU
rnacentral:rRNA from 1 species